rnacentral:lncRNA from 1 species
CUCAGGACCUGUUCUCCCAGCCACCCUCCAUUUUGCCUUAGAUCAGUGCGUCUUGGAUUUAUGAACGAAGGAUCGCACUCCCAUUAAUCAGCGCUACGACCAUUCAUCUUAUUCUCCUUCGCUACAUACUCAAUUCUCGCGAUUACCUUCAUUAUCGAGCUCGCAUCCGUUGUCGUACGCGUCUCGUAUUCCAACGUUUUUUCACCAAACUUUUUCCCCCGCUCUCAUCCACUUUUCCAGCAAUAUUUCAAUUCCAUCAGCCGUGCAAUAUUAUUCAAUUUACUCUCAAUUAUUCAAUUACUUCGUGCUGUGCAACGCUUUGAAAAAAAACGAUACUAUUAGCGAUUAUUUUUCAGGUGAAACUGGUUUUCAAUGCACAAUUCAGUCGCAUUCUUCGACCGCAGAACCGGAACGACGCAGCGUUCCCCUUCCGGUUCCAGUCUAUCGAGAGCUUUUCGCAAACUUCGAAAUCUUCCAACGUCGCCCACUCCGAUUUUCGCAUUUUUCCCCAACGAGAAAUUCAACAGUUAUUCUCAUUGCGGAAGUCGUCUGGGCGUGAAGCAUGCACGGUUAUAAUUCCAAGACGAAUCGGAGAAGCCUAGGUCGCUACUCCAUUGACCGUGGAGGACCAGACCGAGCGUUCAGGGACGUUGAACACACACACACACGCGCACACACCAGGAGGAGGCAAUUCUAUGGAGGAAAAUACAUGAAAGAAGAGAGAAGCAGGAGGAAGUAUAUAAGAGAUGAAGAAGGAUGAGAAGGAUUUAAAAACGUGGAACCGGAAAUUGGAGUACCAAUGACUGCGAUACGCUCUCAUGCCGGACGAAUGACAACCCCUGUUCAAGGAUUCGCUUCGACUAACUCCUACCGUUGCUUGCCACCACCUGCUGCCGCGAGGCUCAGUGUCAAAGUCUCAGGAAAACCGUUGAUCCUUAGCCGACGUGCGUGUCCUUUCAUCUUGUAUUUUAACGCGCUCUACGUAACACGCACACUUACGAGGGAGCGCACAUUUAAACACACGUGGACAAAUCUCUUGUUUGCUCGGGUGACACAAACCGCGUGUUAUCCUUGGGAUACGAUUUGUCAUCAAUCCUCGCGAGGGUGCGAUCAAAUAUUGGUCCAGCGAAAGAUAAUGUAUGCUUUAAAAAGUUACCUUCGAACUUGGCUUCUGUUUUCGACGAAAAAAAAUUAUUUAUCUACCGCGUAAAAGUUUCAUUUGUGAGCAACGAUGCGCAGAGAAAUCGGGAGAAAUCGAUAAUUUCGGAAAGUCGUUAAUGUCGUUAAUACCAAAAACUGAUAGUCAAUGAAUUCCUGUUUUGUCAUUCGUUUCCGGCUUCGGUUUUAUUUUUAUGAGUAGAA